rnacentral:rRNA from 1 species
GAUGAACGCUAGCUACAGGCUUAACACAUGCAAGUCGAGGGGCAGCAUGACGAUAGCUUGCUAUUGUUGAUGGCGACCGGCGCACGGGUGAGUAACGCGUAUCCAACCUGCCCUUGUCCAUCGGAUAACCCGUCGAAAGGCGGACUAACACGAUAUGCAGUUCUCUGCAGGCAUCUAACGAGAACGAAAUGUAAAGGAGAAGGAUGGGGAUGCGUCUGAUUAGCUUGUUGGCGGGGUAACGGCCCACCAAGGCGACGAUCAGUAGGGGUUCUGGUAGAAAGGGCCCCCACCUUGGAACUGGGACACGGUCCAAACUCCUACGGGAGGCAGCAGUGAGGAAUAUUGGUCAAUGGGCGAGAGCCUGAACCAGCCAAGUAGCGUGCAGGAUGACGGCCCUAUGGGUUGUAAACUGCCUUUAUACGGGGAUAAAGUGAGCCACGUGUGGCUUAUUGCAAGUACCGUAUGAAUAAGGACCGGCUAAUUCCGUGCCAGCAGCCGCCGUAA